UAUACGAUGAAGAGUUUGAUCCUGGCUCAGGAUGAACGCUAGCGGCAGGCUUAACACAUGCAAGUCGAGGGGUAGUGGCUUUCGGGCCAUGAGACCGGCGCACGGGUGCGUAACGCGUAUGCAAUCUGCCUCUCACUGGGGAAUAGCCCGGAGAAAUCCGGAUUAAUGCCCCAUGGUAUUUUGGUUGGGCAUCCAA
rnacentral:rRNA from 1 species